rnacentral:rRNA from 1 species
GGGCGCAAGCCUGAUCCAGCCAUACCGCGUGGGUGAAGAAGGCCUUCGGGUUGUAAAGCCCUUUUGUUGGGAAAGAAAUCCAGCCGGCUAAUACCCGGUUGGGAUGACGGUACCCAAAGAAUAAGCACCGGCUAACUUCGUGCCAGCAGCCGCGGUAAUACGAAGGGUGCAAGCGUUACUCGGAAUUACUGGGCGUAAAGCGUGCGUAGGUGGUUGUUUAAGUCUGCUGUGAAAGCCCUGGGCUCAACCUGGGAAUUGCAGUGGAUACUGGGCGACUAGAGUGUGGUAGAGGAUAGUGGAAUUUCCGGUGUAGCAGUGAAAUGCGUAGAGAUCGGAAGGAACAUCUGUGGCGAAGGCGACUAUCUGGGCCAACACUGACACUGAGGCACGAAAGCGUGGGGAGCAAACAGGAUUAGAUACCCUGGUAGUCCACGCCCUAAACGAUGCGAACUGGAUGUUGGGCACAACUUGGUGCCCAGUAUCGAAGCUAACGCGUUAAGUUCGCCGCCUGGGGAGUACGGGUCGCAAGACUGAAA